GGAUAUAGCUCAAUUGGUAGAGUGCUUGUCUCCCAUGCACAAGUUCCUAGGUUCAAUCCCCAGUACCA
rnacentral:tRNA from 1 species